GCAUAUCAAUAAGCGGAGGAAAAGAAACUAACAAGGAUUCCCCUAGUAACUGCGAGUGAAGCGGGAAGAGCUCAAAUUUAAAAUCUGGCGGUCUCUGGCCGUCCGAGUUGUAAUCUAGAGAAGUGCUGCCCGCGCUGGACCGUGUACAAGUCUCCUGGAAUGGAGCGUCAUAGAGGGUGAGAAUCCCGUCUCUGACACGGACUACCAGGGCUUUGUGGUACGCUCUCAAAGAGUCGAGUUGUUUGGGAAUGCAGCUCAAAAUGGGUGGUAAAUUCCAUCUAAAGCUAAAUAUUGGCGAGAGACCGAUAGCGAACAAGUACCGUGAGGGAAAGAUGAAAAGAACUUUGGAAAGAGAGUUAAACAGUACGUGAAAUUGCUGAAAGGGAAACGCUUGAAGUCAGUCGCGUUGGCCGGGGAUCAGCCUCGCUUUUGCGUGGUGUAUUUUCUGGUUGACGGGUCAGCAUCAAUUUUGACCGCUGGAAAAAGGCUUGGGGAAUGUGGCAGCUUCGGCUGUGUUAUAGCCCCUUGUCACAUACAGCGGUUGGGAUUGAGGAACUCAGCACGCCGCAAGGCCGGGUUUCGACCACGUUCGUGCUUAGGAUGCUGGCAUAAUGGCUUUAAGCGACCCGUCUUGAAACACGGACCAAGGAGUCUAACAUGCCUGCGAGUGUUUGGGUGGAAAACCCGAGCGCGUAAUGAAAGUGAAAGUUGAGAUCCCUGUCGUGGGGAGCAUCGACGCCCGGACCAGAACUUUUGGGACGGAUCCGCGGUAGAGCAUGUAUGUUGGG
rnacentral:rRNA from 1 species